rnacentral:lncRNA from 1 species
AUGUUGAUAACUUAUGUUUUAGCAGCUGCUGAGAAAUGCUGUAAGAAGACAAGGACAUAUAGAUUUCUCAGCUUCUUGUACUAUACUGCCAACAAAGGGGCAAAAUUAUGGAAGGAGAAGGUCAUCCUGAAGUACCCUGAACUUCAGAUUACUGGAGGCUGUGAGGGAAUAUCAAACAGAGUAGUGACAAGCAGACUGUGGAGUUCUUUUUCCACUGUGCAUCCAUAUCAUGCCCUCAAGUAUCACCAAAAUUCCUUUGAGUCAAUGAAGGAAUCACAUCUGUCUUUAGAAGAGGGACAUGUUCCAUCAUUCAUAGUAAGUGUCCGUUGAGAAAAACUGUAUGUUAAAUAGAAGGAAAAAUCAAUGAUGCUCCUUUAAGAAAGAAGUUGUAACACACAGUGUAAGAUGUAAAUAGCAGCUCUGAACUCCACCCACAAGGCUUUUUUUGCAGUGAGGAAAAAGAAACAGAUACUCUAUCCCCAAAAUAUGAUGAAAUCAUAAAAUGAAACUCCUCAGUAGCUUUUCUGAACAGAAGUGUUCUGUGAAAAAUUGAAUGGAUUAUACAAAAAACAACUCACGUAUUCUGUUUUGUUUCCAGUUCUGUCCUUCAGUGGGGAGCUGUGUGGUGCUGAGCUGUCUGCUGAGUUAAUUCACAACACUGAACAUUCCUGUUAGACAAUCACAAACACUUGAUCCUCAGAUUUUAAUGGAAACUAUGCACAAAAUGGCCAGCAAAGUAAAAUCCAUUGCUGUUGAAAUAAAUACUAGAAAAUGACUAAAAAUAUUCUGCUU